UCCCUGCCCGGCUCGUAGCUCGGCCGCGUAACGCCGGGCACGGCAGCGCAAGUCACGGGCACACAACGGACUGUGCAGAGGGUUUAUUCUCGAUCGCUAAUUGCUUGUUACAACUUAAGCCAUUUUGGCAAAUUUCUCAGAUUCCAACUUCCCGACACAGCCUCUCCCGUUGCAGCACUGGGUCAAGCUCUCGCUGCACGGCACGUGCUGCCCUUGGGGUGUCUCCUUCCCGUCCCUGGGAGCGUGACUCCAUCUGAAUUCCUUAUCUUUAACCACAGAUGAACAUCGAACGAGCACAUGGAGUUCCAGACGCUGAUCCUCGGAGAAUCCACGUGUGACAGAAAGGAUGGAUAAGCUUUUGGCUCAGUUCCAGCCUGGUGGAGCCUGCGUGUGGUUGUUUCAGGCUGAUGUACGCGGAGGGCUACACUGUUUAUUCCGCCAGGGCGUUACAUCCAACGGUUUAUUUCAUUUAUAUAUCUGUGGCAACGAUCCCGUUACCUUCUUUCUGAUACACGUGACGGCGCGUAGCAGAUCACGCCUAGAAAUAUUGUGGUUUUGAAGUCCAAAAUUAACCUGUUGGUGCUGGGAUUUGUUAAACAAAGUUAGGCUCUCAUCAUAACAACAUACAGGCUCAUAGCACCUCGAGUUCAGUGAUUUAAGCGGGUAUUCAGCACCUGCGUACCAGGUCUAGGCCCAGCUGGCUAGGGUUCUGAGAAACAGCUGAAUGAUAAUAAAUAAGACUCCAGUGGCUGCAGCCCACCAAGUUAAAAAAAUUAGUUUAAAACCAAGGUAGACCAAUGUGUUUUCCUGAUUAAAGGCAAACUGAAGUCUUAAGAUACACAUUAAACUUAAGUACGAUACAUGUGGCCGUCUAGUGUUGUUACGUAUUAUUAUACACAUGAAUCAGACAUAUAGGUGGUGUGGGCAUGUGAUGGCCUGGUAGAGGAUGAAAUACUGAUACUGUAAAGAAAGAUUGGUAAAUUGAAUCUCUCUUCCCAAACCUGUUUCCCUCCCUCUAUAAAUAAAUUUGAUGCACAGAAUGCAAGUUUAGGACAUGGCAUUAUUGCUUCCUCUUCACAGAGGAGUUCGAGUUGCUGCUUUUGAGUUCCACCUGAAGCUACAACGCAUUGCAGUCUUCAGCUGUUUUAUGUUCACACACUGAUGUUCUAAGUAAUUUCUCUCUCCAGUGCCAGUGUUAGGAGCAUGGGGUGAACACCAGGUGAGCGUUUCUAUACCUAGCAAGAACGGGUCUGCUUGGCAGGAUGCUUUAGGAUGAGGGGGCAGACACCUCGAGUUGAGAGGUGGAGUCUUCAGUUACCUGCCAGCCUUUCUGUGUUGUAAUAAUGAACUGCUGAGGACGAUGGUCGCACUGCUGCUGUGUUGGUUGGCAACUGGCAUUUUGUCAGACGCCAAGGGAUUUGGAAGGCUCCGUGUUCAGUGUGCUCUUCUAUUCAGCCCUCUUAAGCAGGGACAACUCAAUUGAAUCAUGAAGGUAUGGACUGGAAUUUUUGGCAGUUGUCGUUAUCACUGAUAAUGAUAAAUUAUCUCUCUAUCAGCUAAACCUAUCUUGUGUCCUGCCUUAGCAUUUACUUUUUAUGCUUGCUAGAACGUUCACUUUUGAACACGCUGGUUCUUUUUCUAUGCAGCAGAAAACCAAGCCGUUUUGUGGAAACAGAAAUGCUCGGUAUUGGUAGGACAUUGUGUGCUUGGGAGUAACAUGCAGUUGUUAGAAAGAUCCGUAUGGAAAAACAGGAUCCUGAGUUCUGAUCUCAGCCUGAUCUUGACUUGCUGGGUGAUAUUAGGGUUGUUUCCUCCUGAUUUGGUUUGAGAAGUUAGAAUUACCUGUAAGCAUCAAGUAAAACACUGUUGGAUGGACAAAAAUGACAGCCGUCUGCUUAGAAGGAAAACAAAGCGCUCUGUCUCCAUGUUAAAAUGAUUGGAGAUUGAACUUAGGGGGAUCUAGCAUGUGAUUACUUUUUUUAGAGAGGAUUUUCUUCGUAGCUGAAUUGGACUGAGUCUUUUUUUUUUUUUUACUCCCAAACCAGAUGUCCCUGGAGGAUUGUAAUUGCAGCGUUGCCUUGUGACUGCACUGAAUUAAGAGUCGGAGCCCAGCUGAAAUUCCCAGACCAAAGGAUAUGAUGGCUACUAGUAACGUUGGUGCCUUAGACCAAAGGAUAUGAUGGCUGCUACUAACCUUGAGGAACCACAACUGAGCAUUUCUCCUGUUCCCACCUGUGCUUUGGGAUGCAAAAGGAAAACAUUAGCACACAGAGACCUUGACUUCCUCUUGGAUGCAUCUGGACGAUUUUAUUAGGAAGUCCACUGUGCCUGUGAGCAGUCUGAGAGCAGCUGAUGAUGAGCAUCGCCAAGAUAUGGUACUGGGCUGCUGUUCAAUUUUGUGUCUUUCAGAAGACUUGAAAAAUUAGAUUUGUGAAACAUCACUCUCACAAAUCACAGCCUCACCAUGAGGACAUUAGGGCAGCCACGACUGUACAAAGUAUCUUCACCAGCAAUCUUUCACCUCCUGACAAAUCUUUUCUUCUUGAAGGUAACUGUGGGUGGUCUUCCUUUGUCUCAUUUCUGUAAAUUUGGUACAUCACUUUCUAGUUAUGCAGCUGAUACUUGUGUUUAUAUGAAUGGCUAUUUAAAAAAGGAAAGAUCAGAUGUUUGUUGUUUCAUUUCAACAUAAAUCAAACUUUGUACUCACAUAGCAAUUCUAGUUUGGCCCCAGGAAUAGCUUUAGUAUUGCUAAGUGUCUGGAGAGUAUUGACUAUAGAGACAUGAUUUUAAGCAGGCUAUAAUAGUUUCUACAGCUGUUAACAGUUCGUAGAAGAAAGGCAGUAUUAUUCAUCGGUGUUUAAAAUGUGCAUGACUUGCAUUGCACAGAAGUCAGAUUGGGAGAAUGUCAGAUUUUUUUUUUUCUGAAAUUCUGCCAGGAAAGUCUUCAAUAACUGGAGAAAUUCUUUUCACUGGUGAAAUCAACAUGCAGCACAUUGUGUUAUUAUAAUUGCUUAUAGCUCACCAUGAAAGUUGUCUUUGUAUGCGUGGAUGUACGGCUUGUACUGUUUUGUUUUUAUUUAUUCUGCAUUCUUUAUUAUAAAUGUUCUUUCCUUUUUUCCAGACCAGAAAGAUUGUUAUUGAGCCUUCCACAAAGCUGAAAUAAUGCUGUGUGUUAAAAAAAUGUUAACAAUUUGAAGAAGUUAUAAAAAUUUAUAAGUUGACUGAAUACUUUGGAAAUUUCUGCAUAUUUUAAUAUAAAUAGGUAAUGCAAAUGUUUGUUCUUUGCAUUUAGAGGUGGGUCUCUGUUUUCUAAAGGUCUUGUAUAUAAAUUUGAAUCUUACAAUUACACUAGAACAAAACCAGUAUUUUUUCAGAUUGUAUAAUAGGAAAAAAUUGUAUUCGCAAAGGACACAGAACAUACAUGUUUAUCUCUGAAUGUCAUAUAGUCAUGAAAUUUGACAUAAAUACUAUCAGUUGUUUGAAUGACUUCAUUAAGUGCAUUUAGGUGACUGCCUGUUGCAGUCAGCUGAGAUCCUUCCAUUCAGUUCCGCGGAUCCUGGGUUGGCCCACAAAGAAAAAGACCAUGCUGCAGCUAACUGAGAAACAAGAGGAGAUAAAUUUCUCUAUGGAUAGUGUGAUGCUCCAGAUUUCACUGGUAGAGCUUGAAUAGAAAUUCAGUGACAUAAAAUCACAAAAAUCAUAAAAGACAAAGGAGUUAUUUCAGAUUAAUUUGGUAUUAGCGAUGGGUUUGAGCUUUAACCAUAACUAAAAUCAUAAAACAGAGCAAAAGAGUCCAAAAGAAAGAAAGGAAGAGUAGAAAUAGGUGAAAGGGAAGAAGUGAGUGACAGAAUACUGGCAGGGGAGCAAGGACUUAAAUUAUGACAGACAGUUUUAACAAAGACUAGUCCAAAAUGAUAACAGUUGUUAUGAUCCACUGGAGGUGCUGGUUGGGUAAAUAGCUGACAGGCAUCAAGCUGCUUUUUUUGGAGAGUGGAGGGGAGCAAUGUAAGUUUUGGGUGGUUGUUCAGAGUAGAAAGGGUUUGUUAAUUUUUCCCUGAAGGAGAAUGAAUGAAACUCCAAGGCGAUUUCUCCACAAGCAAAUAUAGCAGCAACUAGGAGUGGACCUGGAGAGCUGCAGCCCUGCAUGCUGUGCGCAGCUGGGGUCUUUGCCUGUGCUGCCUGGGUCUGUCUUCCAGCUCACUAUCAUCUGGAAGGAAUCCAGUCUGUGCUCAGGCACUCCUCCAGGAUGCAAAACACAGUAAGUCGGGCGCUUGAGGGGCUGACUUCCAAGGCACCCUGCUGCUCCAAACUUCAACACUAACAUAGAUGCACCCUGACAUACUUGGGGGUGGGAGUGGUGACAUGGGACGGGGCAGAGGGGAUACUCAGCACGCACUAGUUUGUGUUACAGGUGCGGGCAGCAUGUGGAGCUGAGAGCAGUGAAAGCCCAAAGGCAUACAGCACCUGAAAAGGUCACCAGGAGCUGCAGUGCAGGGUAAGUCCUCCAGGAAAGAGAAAAGGAGAAUGAUGCAAGGCUGUAUAGGUGUGUUAAAAAAUUUAAAAAGAUGCAGUUUCCCUAAUAUACAUCUUAAAAGGAGGAUUGUGGGAUGGUUUUCUCCAGUGAAACAGUAUUACCCAGUGAAUAAGUUCCCUCCAGAAGGGACAAAAAUGCCUUUUAUUAGAUAUAUGCAAGGUGUCAGUGAAGUUAGCUAGAGCUCUGCAUUGUCUGGCUUCUCCUCAGGAUAAAGAACUCUUUGGGAAAGUUGGUGCCUAUCCUAAGUUUACCAUAAUUUAGUAUUUCAGGAUGGAUUCCCUCCUGACAUAUUGCCCAUGAAAUUUUCAUAGGGCUAGAAGCACUUUGUAACACCAACUCCAUUAAGAAGUGUGCAAAACUAAUGCACGAGAGUCCCAGAUUUUUGAUGUGGAGUCUUUAUAGAUCUUCUCAAGACAUCCUGGAACAGGCUUUGCUGUGUUGAAAGGCUUCCUUGGUCUUUGGGGCCAGUGCUAUGAAAUAACAUUGCUGCUCAGCUGGCGGUGUGCUCUGUAGAAAGCUGCUUAUCAUUUUCAAAGGCUGUUUUCCAAAUGAAAUCACUAUGGUAAAUGAACCCUUUAAAACUUAUACUCGCAAAAACUGAAUUCAGUUCAGGAAAUGGUGUUGAUUUUGUCUUUUGUGAGUCACUUCCACUGUAACAUUCUCUGGAAUCAUUCAUUUUUGAGUGUUAAAAAUGACUCGUUGGUAAUAUGGAGUUAUAGAUUUGGAGGUAUUUCCACGUUCCCUGUCAGUGUGCCACUUUGUACUGUAUUUAUUCUCACAGAGCCUGUUAUAUAAAAGUACCAUUUUACAGAGCAGAGGCACAGAGAGAAUAAACGAUGUAGAUAAGUCUGUGUAAGGAGAUACGUUACAGAACUGAUCUUGGGUUUCCUCAGCUGAUGGUGUUUAGGCACUGGACUAGCUCUCUUCUUGUUCUGAGUACAGUUAUAUUCCUUUCUCACCACGGCUCUUGGUCAUCCCAUCCAGCACAGCCAAAAAGGCUGCCCUGGAUGCAGUGAUCUGGUGAGUCUGAACGUUAUCAGAGAGCUGAUAGGAUUCUUAUUUCUGGUGACAGGAUUAUGUCAAAUAAUGUGAUUGAUUAGCUGAGACAAAUGUGUUUAGUACCUAAGUAUAGCAUGUCUAUGUAUGCCAGUACUUUGAAAACAAGGGAAGCAAAAAAUGUAUGGACAAAUAGGUUAUUGUCAAAAGCUGUUAUCCUUGCUACAAGCAAUGGGCAUACACAACAGUUUGGCUUUUGAACUUUGAGAAAAUGAUUUGCUAAUAAGAUUUUGGCUUAUGAAAGACGAUGAAAUGCAUGAGCAGAACACAAACAUCUUUACUAGAUCUUGUCAGCAGUUGUGAAGAUGAAUUUUAACAGUGUUAGGAUUUUCCAGGCCUCUUUCAAGAUGACUGUGUUGCCUUGCUAAAGACGCUGAUUGUUGUACGUCUUUGUCCAAGAACAGUUGGCUUAAUUGCUUCUGAGCAAUAUUUCCUUGGAAGCUCUCGGAAUACAAAAGGCAAUCCAGAGAAGUCUGAACGAAUCUCUACUUAGAAACUGGCCGUGUUCAAUCUGUAAAGGAAUGAAUGGCUCCGGACUUUCCAUCUUUAGAGCUGGUGGUUUCCACACCACAGUGAUUCAGCCAGUAUGAACUCUUGACCAAAUCCCAGUUUGUUUCCUGGUUUUGUUUUUCUAAAAUAUUUUGCAUUUAGCAGGGCAUAAAGGCCUCCCUACUACGUGACGGUGUACGAAGGAGAGCCGUGCUCUUUUUACUGGCUAGCUCUCAAAGGACUGCUCUCAGGGCUUCUGAAAACAUGAAGCAAUUGGAAAGGAAUCACUGAAUUUUGUCUAAAACUAAGACCGAAUUCUUACAUGCUCCUGGCUUUUUGAUGCUGUGUGUUUAUGUGGAAUUUCUUUUGAGGUUUAAUAAGGUCUGAUUUUUAUUUGAGAAAACACGCCCUGCCUGAAAUGUUCUAAGGUUUAAUCAGUGUGUUAUUGCCAUAGGAAACUCAUAUACAUUUGUUUAGUUGCUAGAUAAAUGGAUUAGUAUUGACAGUGAAUUCAGAGCAUAGUAGGUUGUUAAAUUAAUGUGAAGGGCCUUGUUCCUUUGCCUUGCUGGAUGUUUUUUGAUGACUGAAUUCUCUGGGGUGCCUUUUUUAGGGAAUAUGCUGGUGGUUGUCCAUGUUAUUGUGUAAGUGGUAGGCUCAGCAAAGUCUUAGAGUAGCUUGGUUUUGGAGUUCUAAACACCAAGAGAGAGAGAUGCUAGACAGGAAAUCUAUAGCCUGCAAAAGCUACAAAUGAAAGAAACUAUACCCUGAAAAUUAAAAACAUAAAAUGUUCUUUCAGAAGCUCAUACAUUUAUAUAGAUACAUUAUCCCAAAUGAUACAUCAUAUGAGUAACCAAAAUAUUGCUGUAAUAGAUUUGAGACCUAAGAUGGAAAUGUGUUAACAGUUUACCUCUGUGAAAAUACAGCAUUACUCCCUUCACACCCUGUGUCUUCAUGUUGUUCAGCAGAGAGAAAUAUUGGUACGUACAGGUUUAUUUGAGUCCUUUUCAUGAAGUGACCCCCAUUGUCUGCUUUUUUUUUUUUUUUACACAACUCUCAUUUCUCCAUAAUUUUCUCCCCGUACUCCAGUAAAUCAUUGUCUCGGAUUCUGCAUGGGUUGCCUGAGGCUGUUGGCUGAGGUGAACUUGUUGCAUGGGGCCAUCACCCUUCUUUUCAAAUACCAGUAUUUUUUAAUACAGGGCAUCAUAAAUGCAGGACAUAGAUGUAUGGGUGUACUAAUAACAUUACAGCUGAUUAACAAAUAUUCAGAUCACCAAGUGUUCAGAAACUGUGGGUUGUCUUUGCAGUGGAAGUUCAGCCUUGUUUUGCAUAUGUGUAACGAGACAAGGUUUCAAAACAUGAUCAAGUAGGGUGUUUUUGUUACUUUCUGGUACAGCCUUUGGGUAGCAAUAAGGAGGGAGCUGGUGCAGCCAUUUCUACAUGCGUUGUGACUUGAAGAGUGGCUCUCUGUCCACCUCCACACGACACUAAUACUGUGUCACCUUGGCCGUGCUUGAGGUUGAGUCUGCUCACAGUGGACAUUCUGCAUGUGGAGCCCGUAGGGGGGCAGGUGAGCAUCCUUGCUGCUGCUGCGGCUUUGGAAUCGUUGAUGAUAGAUUGCAUUGCUGAGAUCAGUGAUAUACGAUCGAUGUAAUAUCCAUAAUAAUUUCUGAGACCUCAGAUUUUCACAUUUCAGAAUGUAAACCAGCUUUUUGCACUCCACUUUCUAAUGUGACUGGCCCAGUUUGAUUGUCUUCUUCUGGAGUGGGAAGGAAGUGCUGUACCAUAUGUGGAGGAUACUAUAUAGUAUCCUAUAUUCAAAGAUAUAGAUUUCUUCCUGAACAGGGCAAGAUGAAAAGGAAAGAGAAAUUAUUUCAGCUAAGUGAAUAAUUCACAAAGAAUAAUAUUUCCAGAUCCAACUUGCUCUUCUGCUUGCGUCACAUCGAUGAUGUAAUUGCUGUCCUCUGGUAUUUAUGUACCUUUCAAAAUUUCCGUUACUUUUUUAACUCCGUGGAUUGAUGUGGGACAGUGUUCUGUGAGAUAUCGUUAAUCAUGGUGUUGGCUUGGUGGGGUUUGGGUACUCUUAUUGUAUUGUUGGUGCUUUCUGUUUGGAUGAAAGUACAGACACUUCCAAAAUAAAUGCUCCUGAGCUAAUAUAAACUUCAGUUUUCCUGAAGACUGUUCAGUGAAGCUCAGACACUGGCUUUCUUUAAGUGCAUUUGCUGGUACAACUCAAUUGCACAAAUGUUUGCAGAUGGUACAAAGAAAAAGGGUGCAAAGAAAGCUAGAGGUAGGGGAAUGGAGGAAACAGUCUGUAGCAUAGACUGUAGCUCUUAAAGGGUGCAGAGCUCUUUCUGUGCUCAGAGGUGCUUAUUGUGCAGAAUCUUUGUACUCAUCACAGAUGAAAAUUACACUUAGACAAGUGCCAGAAGAGUCACUGCUCUGUGACCUGCGUGUCUCAGAUAGCUUUUUCAGUCUUGUACCUGUUAGCAAGUGGUUCCUGUUCUUCAGACCGCUGUUACCUGCUCCAGCAGGUAAGGAUGGCGUGGAAUACUGUAGUGUAUGAGAUGACUGUUCACUAUGACUGCUUCCUUCUGCUGAUAUCAAAAGACAUUUUACGCUUUUUGCUUCCCUCAUUGAUCUUAGGGCUCAAACUUCCGAGUGUUAACUGACUUUGUUUUUCAUGCUGUGCAGAAUCGGGGAUUUCAUCGAAAGAGUGUGUUGCAAACUGCUUUUGAGAAACCUGAUGUUUGUGUCAGGUGAUAGAUGAUAUUACUAAAUUGACUUGUUGAAAGGAUCCUGCGGGGUACAGUGCUGUCACUGUGUUCGAGUGGUGUGGCCACAGGUGGGACUCAGUUGACACUGGUGCAGCGAGUGCCUGAGCCGGCACAGCAGAACACCACAGGCAGCUGUUAAAACCCUGCAAGGUCCCAGGUUAACCAAGGUGUAAAUGCUUUGCUCUACUACAGCCUCACUGUGGCUCCCAGGGAAACAGCACAGGCCUCGUGUGCUUCAAGCUGCUCAGCCUAGUCUGUUGAAAACCAAACUGCCCAGCCUGAGGAGGGUCCUGUCAUCAUAUUAGCUGCUUCCUCUGUCUCCCAUUCCUCUGGCCUCCCAUUUGGGUGCGUGUAAAAGCAUCUUUCAGUCAAGAAAGGGGAAGAGACAGUGUCCUCUUGCUGCUCUUUCUUUGUGGUGUAUCUAUCCACACCACAUACAGAACUUGGUCUAGACAACCCAGCUGAUUUCUAAGCCUUGGAAACAGGAUCCUAUAGGGAGUUGUACAGGACAAACUGCUGCCUGCUGGGGAGAGGUGGAACUUAGGUGAUGAAGAAAUAGGAGUCCAUCACAUUGCACCAUACACCAGCCUAGUGAAAAGAGGGCUUUAUGCUCAGUUUGAAAGAGGCCAGUGCAAAAGUAACCUAGAAGAACUGAUUUAAUUGACUGCAUGGAUUUGCAACCAGCAGUUCAGCAGCUGCUUCAUGAGCCAUCCUUGCAGGAGGGGAACCUCAGAGAGAUGGAUUCCUUUAACUAGAAAAAUGUGACAGGUUUUGAUACCGGACUGCAGCGAAGUCCCAGCUGUGCUAUUCUACUGUUCUACCCUUCAUGAGUGAGCAGUGAUGGGGCUGUGCAGCUGUUAAGCACGUGCCGGUUUUGGUGAUGCAAGUACUUUGGGCACCGCAGAGGAACUGCCCCCUGAAUCCAGCAUGGUGCAGAGCUCCCGAGGGAGAGGGUGGCAGCAAAAAGGAGCUGCAUUUGCUGGAGAAAGGGUUUGACCAGCCGUGUGAGAGCCAGCCUGAGCAGUCAGUAGGCGCAGUCCCAUCCUCUCUUGCGGUUGUGUUUGAACACGAGACCGGUCACAACAGAGUGGACAUCGUCGCAGGGGGCCUGGAGAAUACUCAUCAUUCAUAACAGAAACUAUUCAAGAUGCAUGGGCCCGAAAGGUCACUGUAAGUUUCUGUCGCUCUUCUGGUGUGACUGGUAUAGAUCAUGUCUUCUAGCAAAUUUUAAGGAGGAAAACUUUUGUUACGAGGAGAGAUGGAAAGUUUGUGCACCCAGCCUCUAUUUGGAAGAAUAUUUUGUUGUGAAACCUGUCUUGUGAAACCAGAGGCUUGAGCCAACUGAUUUUGAUCUCUGAGCUUAAAGUGUGAGUAAGUGGUGUCGAAUCAGGCUGGAUAGAUGUCACCCUCAGGGAUUUGCGCACGUAACUCUCCUUGACUUGAACUGGAGAAGGCCAGAGUUUAUUCACUUUCAUUUUCUGUCACUGAGAAAAAUGAAUGCCUCUCUAUAGAAGACAUAAUUUUUUCCUUUCUUCCCAAGUAGAUGAUGACUAAAGAAGGCCUGAACUGAGUAUAGAUAUUCUUAUAUUUACUUGCAAUGAAUGUAGCUCAUGACUCUUAUUUUAGCACCAAUCUGGAACACUACUGUGAACAGAUUUACAAUGUCUGCUUCUUCCUUACCUUGGUAUUCUGGCAUUUAUGCUCAUUCUUGCACUGAUACUUGGGAGUUAAAUGAAGCCAAAUGUCUGAAAGAACCGCAGUAACUGGACGGAAGGAAAAUACUGGAAAGUGUUUCUGUAAUUGGAGCUGAGUUUGACAGAGGGUUCUGCCUUUCUGGAAAAGAAAUGCUGAUUUUGGUUCUUUACAUUGCCAUCCCCUUGUUGUGCUGUUGUGUACUGGAAUAAAAGAAUAAAGGUUUGGUUCUCUUCUUGAUGAGACUCCUGCACCUUCACCUAAAUUCCUCCCUGGGCAGCUGCUGUGAAUGGAUCUGACCACCGAGGGAAUCUGGCCCACUGAAUUCCUUUUCUUUCUGUGCAGUUGAAUGAAAAAUGUGUCUUCUGAAGACCAGUGACUGAAAGAAAUAUUGAUGACUGCCAGGGCAUCUACAGAAAAGGAUAAGAAAAUCACUCUACUACAACAGAGAAGAAAAAGGGGCUUUGUUAACUCUUUCUUGUAGGUUGUAUAUAUUAAUAGUAACAACUAAAGUUUUGUAUUUUUUCAGAGAAACACACAAGGCUUGGAAUUGUAUUGUUUUAAUUGCAGCUAACUGAAUGAAUUAAGUGGAAAACUGCACACAGUACUUUGAUUGUCUGACUUUCUGUAUGUGAGGCUUUGGGAACAGUUUGUUAUUAUAAAAGGACAGCACUAACAAGAAAUCAACCAACAUAUAAUUGCUAGGCUAAGGGGCAGUUUGGGGAAAGCUGAUAUUUAUUUAUAAAUUAUUAAAUAAAAUCAUCUCUGUGGAUCAUCUCUCACU